CAUGGAAAUUCAUUUCAUUAGGCAUUAAUCAUGCAAAUGCAUUAAAAAUGUUUUAUUGUGACACGGCAUCGGUAAUCUUCGGUUCUCUAUCCAUAGAAUUAGUCCACCGCGCUUCCAAGAUGGCCACGUCAUUGAUUUUUUUUUUACGCAUGCAAAGUUGUUCACUUUAGUCGAUUCAAACAAUCCCAAUUUCACAUGAAACAAGCACCCAUCAAGACACAUAGACGAUAGAGACAGUUUUGAUGAUGCUCAGAACUGAAUGUUUAAAAAAAAAAGUUUUCUUAUGGUUUUUAUGAGAAGUUUUGUGAAUUAAAUGUUUUACAUUUUUAUUUUUACUUUUUCAUAUUCAUUAUCAUCAGAGACACCCCAAAAUGGCAGUUUUCUAUGUUUUGUAGUAAAAAAAGAUAGAGAAAGAUAAGCGUUUCAAAUGACAUCAUCAACCAAUUAGUAGAUAAUUAGUAGGCAACUAGUAGUCAAUUAGUUGGCAAUUAGUAGGCAAUUAGUAGUCAAUUAGUAGUCAAAUAGUAGUCAAUUAGUAGUCAAAUAGUUGUCAAUUAGUAGGCAAUUAGUAGUCAAAUAGUUGUCAAAUAGUAGUCAAUUAGUAGUCAAAUAGUUGUCAAUUAGUAGUCAAUUAGUGGUCAAUUAGUAGUCAAUUAGUAGUCAAUUAGUGGUCAAUUAGUAGUCAAUUAGUAGUCAAAUAGUAGUCAAUUAGUAGGCAAUGCCUACUCACAAUUGAUCAAAAUCACACGAUGUACACCACUUCUCUUCAUCUAUCUGUUUUACUACAAAACAUAGAAACACACCAUUUUCACAUAUGUUAAUGUUGGAGUGAUGCUGGAGAUGAUUAAUAUGAAGUAGAAAAAAUUGUGAAGUUUCCCCUUUAACGUUUUGAGAACGGAAUGUAUGUUUUUAAAUAACAUCCUUAGAACAUUCUCAGAAUGUUACUAAAUUUCCUUGUGGUUUUUACGAAACGGUUUUCUUAACAUUCUCGGAGCAAUUUGAGAACAUUACUUUUAAUAGAACCAUAAGGAAAACCUGUAGAUAACAUUAUGCUGAAGUAUUGAAAUUCCCACAGAAGAACAUUGUUUCUUAACGUUCUCUGAACUAGUCGAGAAAAUUCCCCAAUGUCAAACCAGUUGGAGAACGUUCUAAGAACAGGAAACGUUCUGUUAAAGUAAUGAACGUCAAGUUUUUAAAUGUGGUGAGAAUGUUCCAAAGCCAAGCAACUAUCUUGCACCAUUCCUAGAACGUUGUGGGAAGAUUAUAUAAUAACCAUAGGACAACCACACUCUCACUAAGCUCUAAGAAACAAAAGGUAUAUUGGGAAAGUAUUCAGACCCCUUGACUUUUUCCACAUUCUGUUACGCUACAGCCAUAUUCUAAAAAAAAAAAUCCCCUCAUCAAUUUACACAUAAUAUAAUAAUAUAAUAAUUAUGACAAAGCAAAAACAGGUUUAGAAUUUCUUUUAGAAAUGUAUGUAAAAAAAAAAACUGAAAUAUAACAUUUGCAUAAGUAUUCAGACACUUUACUCAGUACUUUGUUGAAGCACCUUUGGUAGCGAUUACAGCCUCAAGUCUUCUUGGGUAUGACGCUACAAGCUUGGCACACCUGUAUUUGGGGAGUUUCUCCCAUUCUUCUCUGUAAAUCCUCUCAAGCUCUUUCAAGUUGGAUGUGGAGCAUCGCUGGACAGCUAUUUCAGGUCUCUCCAGAGAUGUUCGAUCAUGUCCGGGAUGUUCGAGAUGUCUGGGCUCUGGCUGGGCCACUCAAGGACAUUUAGAGAUUUGCCCAGAAGCCACUCCUGCGUUGUCUUGGCUGUGUGCUUAGGGUCGUUGUCCUGUUGGAAGGUGAACCUUCACCCCAGUCUGAGGUCCUGAGCGCUCUGGAGCACGUUUUCAUCAAGGAUCUCUCUGUACGUUGCUCCGUUCAUCUUUCCCUUGAUCCUGACUAGUCUCCCAGUCCCUGCCGUUGAAAAACAUCCCCACAGCAUAAUGCUGCCACCACCAUGCUUCACCGUAGGGAUGGUGCCAGGUUUCCUCCAGACGUGAAGCUUGGCAUUCAGGCCAAAGAGUUACAUCUUGGUUUCAUCAGACGAGAGAAUAUUGUUUCUCAUGGUCUGAGAGUCCUGACAGCCCAACUCCAAGUGGGAUGUCAUGUGCCUUUUACUGAGGAGUGGCUACCGGUUGUCCUUCUGGAAGGUUCUCCCAUCUCCUCAGAGAAACUCUGGAGCUCUGUCAGAGUGACCAUUGGGUUCUUGGUCACUUCCCUGACCAAGGCCAUUCUCCCCCGAUCGCUCAGUUUGGCCGGGUGGCCAGCUCUAGGAAGUGUCUUGGUGUUUACAAACUUCUUCCUUUUAAGAAUGAUGGAGGACACUGUGUUCUUAGGGACCUUCAAUGCUGCAGAAAUGUUUUGGUUUCCUUCCCUAGAUCUGUGCCUUCCCACAAUCCUGUCUCUGAGCUCUCUGGACAAUUCCUUUGACCUCAUGGCUUGUUUUUGGCUCUGACAUGCACUGUCAACUGUGGGACCUUAUAUAGACAGGUGUGUGCCUUUCCAAAUCAUGUCCAAUCAAUUGAAUUUACCACAGGUGGACUCCAAUCAAGCUGUAGAAACAUCUCAAGGAUGAUCAAUGGAAACAGGAUGGACCUGAGCUCAAUUUCGAGUCUCAUAGCAAAGGGAUCGAAUUAUUAUGUAAAUAAGGUAUUUCUGUUUUUUAUUUUGAAUACAUGUGACCGACCGGCUAGAUUCAGUCUAAUGUAGAAAAAUAUGAAAUUGUGUUUUUUACAUUGGAUAAAAGUAGAGACUCAGAGCUAGAAAAUGGUCUAUCAUACACCACAGUUGAUGAACAAUGGGAAAGUAAUUCUGCUUUGAAAGUUGAUAAACUUGUAACCCCACUUUUGAGAAAAUAGCCUUUGAAUAUUUUUGAUACACCUACAUCUUUGUCUCCACCCAUUCAGCAUUGUUCACACCCUGUUAAGCUUUAGCCCCGCCCAUCUCUUCAAGGAUUUGCAUGUACGGUCGAGGAGUAGGGUUUAUCCGAGCAUUCUGUCCUAAUAACGUUAGAUAGCUUGCUAGUUACUUCCGACACAAAUGAGAGAACAGCUCGCUCUGACCAUUUUAUUAGUCAUAGCAGAGCUGGUUAGGCUGUUUUCAUGUUAUCCAGAGUGUUGGUGACUGUAACUGUGCUGCUGGCAACAAUUUAAUUACACUUUUUUUUUUGCCAACGUUUACCAACACCAGCCAUAUUCAACGGGUGUUGAGCGUUCGUAAAUUCGUCAGUAAUUCUGCGCUCGAGCACACUCAGACGAGAGUGCUCUGAAAUCGGAGUAGAUAGCCAGAGCGAAUUUACCAGCUACGUCUAUCAACAUUUAUCGCAGUGACACCUUAACACACUAUUGAAAUGGUUACUUACAUAUUGGAGUCGUUUGUUAAGAUAUGUAUCUCGCUAGCUAAACCAUUUACCAUAAUCCCAAAUCAUGAUGUUACUACCCUGCAUGAAUCUGCAGGUAGCUAACCAACAAGGUUCAAUGUUAGCUAGAUAUAAAUUAGGCUAUAACUAGCAAAGCAAAUUUCUCUAAUAUUACUAUCACAGAUCAUACACGUAACGUUAGCUAGUGAGCCAGCCAGCUAACGUUAGAGAGGCUAGCUAACAGUACACGUUAACUUGAAAUGAAAAUGACUUUCUGACAAAAUUAGAAUCAUGUAACAUCUGAAGAUUAAGCUAGCUAGACUAUCUUAUCCAUAUACAUGGAUGGACGCUUCUCCCUCUCUGUCAUGGAUGCCAUGGUUGCCCUUAGUUUGAACAUGUAAUCCGGAGAUAGGUGUUUUUUCCAUCCCCUUAGUUAUCAUACUCUAAUUCCACUGAUUUCAAAACUCGGUCCUCCAGAAAUUAGAGAGGAACACUUAUGCAGUUCUCAUAUGCGAUAUCUUUUUUUUUUAAAGCCGCGAUAGAAAGGAUUACAUACACAUAGUGACCAGCUCAAAUAAACAGAAGCGUGCUACAUGGGAGACCAAUCCGAACUCAUCUCUCAGCAUGUCCAGCCCACUCAUUAUCUCAGCCAAUCAUGGCUAGCAGGAAGGUUGCUGUCUUUUUGUGUGGCUGAACCAACUCGGCUCGCAAUGUAACAAUUUUAUUUGUAUUUACAGAUGGAAUACAAGUUUGUUAUUAAGGCACAUGAAAGUUCACAUGUUCCAGAAGGCAUUUCUGCCCAAAAAAACGCAUUUUGAUUUAAAAAACAGCUAACCUUCAAAUGGUUUUCCUGUGAAGUAGUAACGUGCGAAAUACGCAUAGUUUCUUCAAACGAGUCACUAAUUAGCAAAAAUGUCUACAAACCUGUUUUCGCUUUGUCAUUAUAGGGUUUUGUGUGUAGAUUGAUGAGAAACAUUUUUAAUUCAUUCAUUUUAGAAUAAGGCUGUAAAGUAACAACAUUUGCAAAUUGUCAAAGGGUCUGAAUACUUUCCGGAUGCACUGUAUGGUUCUCAGAACGUUAUGUGCUAGCUGGGAUGUAGUUAGACUGAAGUCCAAUAGUCAAACAGGCUGCUAAAGUUAGCCUGCAUGGCUGCUAACAUAGUCUAGGUAUGGCUGAACUAUUUUGGCUGAGAUGAUGCAUUAAUGUUGCAGUCCAGUGGCUUGGGAGGUGGUGUAAAGAUAAUUGUAACAGUAUACUGCAGAAGGAGAUGUAAUGUAGUAAGUCCAGGAAGUGGUAAGGCCAUGAUGUAAUGUAGUAAGUCCAGGAAGUGGUAAGGAAGGUUGUUAUGGAUGAUGUUCCUGCAUUGUCACUCAGUGGAAUGAGCUCGGGAGCAACAUUUGUGCUCCUGCAUGUUCUUCAACAGCAAACGGAAAGGGUUCCUCCGGCGCCUGCCUCUUGUUCCCUCCGGCUCCCUUCUCUUCCUGGCCGAGCGCUUACCUGACAACACAUGGGUAGCCCCAGAGGCUGGAGGAGGGGUGGUGGGCAGGGGCAUGCCGGCUGGGUUUAGGGGAGAAGGGCUGGAGGGCAGGGACAUGGUGGCUGGGUUGAGGGGAGAAGGGCUGGAGGGCAGGGGCAUGGUGGCUGGGUUGAGGGGAGGAGGGGAAGGCAAGGCAGGAGAUGGAUGCUUUCUGAGUUUCUGAACCUGUUUCUCCAGGUGUUUCUGUAUGGCUGAGCCCAGGACGGCUACUUCUACCACCGCCCCAUACACCUCCCACGUCAUCCCCCUCUCGUCCCACCUCACUUCCUGCACCAGCUCGUCCGACCUCUUCUCUUCCUUUGUCUGCUUCACUUGCUCCUUUGUUUUUGCUUCAGUUUUCUCUUCCGUUGUGUCCUUCGUUCUUCCCUCCUUAUUUUUCUCCUCUGUAUGCUUAUCAGGUUCCUCUUCCCUUCUCUCCUCCACCUUUCUCUCCUUAGCCCUUCUCUCCUCUUUCUUCUCCUCCCCCUCUCUCUCGCUGAGCUCUGGGAAGGCUGCGGGGGUGGCGGGAGCCGUUUUUGGAGACAUGGGUGCCGUGGAGACAGAAUGAAACUCCACCUGCCGGCUCACUUGCAGCUCAGUGUCAUUAAUCUCCACGCCCAUCCUCCUAGAGGAUGAUGCGAAAAGGAAGGCGUCAGCGCCGAACCCCUGGGGUGGGGUCAUGGGGCUGGUGGCUACAGAAUGGUACUGAACCACCUCCAGACUCCUAGAAGCUGCUGGGAAGAGGAAGGCGUCAGCGCUGAACCCUUGGGGUGGGGUCAUGGGGCUGGUGGCUACAGAAGGGUUCUGGACAAC
rnacentral:lncRNA from 1 species